CAGCUUUGACAUGAGGAUCCCGCCCACUGUCGGUCUGAAGGAAUUUGAAGAGCAGAUUAAAGCGUGGUGUGAGGCCGCUGGGGAAGGUGUCACCUAUCAGUUUGCACAGGCAACUGGGGGGCACCCCCCCUUCAAAAGAGAAAGCAGACACUGGUCCACUACGGAGGACCUCCUUGACUUGCAAGUAAUCAGCUGAAAAAUGUCUCUCAGCUACACGCUUCCCAAGGUCGAAACCCAGUCAGCAUCUCGACUGCCGCAGACAAAAGUCCUCCGAGAUGGAGGUGAGCGUUCAGUUCAGCUAGACUACGUGCUGCUGUGGAAUGUCAACUGUCUUUGAUUUCCUCAUCAAGAAAGUGAUAUGAGUCUGUGACCUUUCAACUCUGUCAGCACCAUCUGCUCUAUCCACCACAAGUUAAUGCAAUAUAACUAUAUCAUAAUAAUCUCAUCUAUUCUAAUAUACUAUACUUUACUACACCAAAGAACAAGUGGAGCCAAAAAAAAAAACUACACAAGUCACAGCCUCAGUUUCAUUUGAUGGUCUCUCAUUGCGUCAGGAGUCGUAUGGUAUUCCAGGCAGUCAUGUUGUCAUGGUAAUGAUGUUGGUUCCAGCUUCCCAUGAUAAAAGUCUCAGAAAGAUUCAAAGCCAUCGGAGUCUGUCCACACAUCAGCUUUGUGUACAGUUCAGACCUUUGGUCUAGUGGCACACAUACACGCACGCCAUACUAGCCGCAGCUGGCACGCCCUUAACCCACCGUAAAAAUGAAAGCACUUUCACAGACUCAUCCACACAGAUGUACGCAAACAAAUACACACAGUCACAAAGUGAUUACUGCCGUCAAGCUGUGAUAAAAAUGAAAAGAAGCUGGUUUGCUAUCUUGCACUGACACUGUGCAGCCGCUACCCUCUCAGAGAUAGGAAAUUGCAUUGCAGAGAUUUUUGUUGUGUUUUUUUUCUUUCCCCUAGACGGAACUUUAUGAAACAUUGGCAUGUUCCAUAAUUUUUCGCUGGUCAUAAAAGAGAAGAGCCAGAGAAGAUAAUAACAAUAAAAUAAAAAACAAACAAAUAAAAAGCACUCUGGGCUCUGUUGCUAUUCUCUUUCCCAUUGUCUCACUCUCUGUGCGUCUCGCGCUCCCUUUCCAAAUCUGGGGUUAAUGUUCUGUGAAAGAAGAUAACUAUCUGAAAAUACAUAUACUGCCUGUAGCUUUUUAUUUUUUUAGGCAGAUAAUUUACCAGCUAUUAAAUUAUUACUCAGUUGCUGUCUCCAAAUUGUUCUCCUGCCCCUGGGCACAUGAGGAUGAAAUUCUGACAGGGUUAAGUAUCAGGAAAGAAAGAAAAUAAAAGCGUUCUUUACAUGAGAGCAGUUUCAACAGAGAAAUAUAAAGACUGCUGCUUUUUCCUAGUGGCAGAGGUCCGUACACACUACGUAAUUGCUGAGAGAGAAUGAUUUGGAUGUACUGGUUUAACUGGAGUCCAGUGAUCUGGUCUGCGGUUCUAAACUGAUAACAGAAGAGCAGGAGGAAUGUUACUGUUUUGAGAACACAUGGGGAGGGGGCUGUGAGAUACACUGAUGUUACGGUUCUGUCCUGUCCCCUAUCGGUGAGAUGCGAUGAGCUUGAAAGCUGCUUUCCUAGUUUGAGCUUCUCCUGAGGCAUUGCCAUGCGUUCACACAGAUGGUGUCUUGUGGUUUGUCACGGACCUCAGUCCCUGAAUCUUAUUCCCAUUCAGCCCUUUCGGCUCUGGAUGGCCAGGUAGAUCUGGGCUGGGAGAGCUGAGGCUGUGGAGAGCAGGGUGCUCAUAGGGAGUCAUCUCUGUGAAGCACAGACGACCUCGCUGGGUAUUUCUACAGUAUGUGUGUCCAAUACUGAGACUGAGAUCUCAUAGAAAAAUAUUAAAACUAAUACAGAGCGACAGCCAGAUUUCGCUUUCAAAUAUCGAGUUAAAGAUGCUCUCUAUUCCAUGUUGGCUUUUUAAAAUGUAUUUAUUUUUGUUUAGCAAGAACCUAAUUUACCCACAACUAGGGCUGUAAUUUAUUCACAGUACUAAAAAUGCUAAUUUCUCAGUCUAAAAAAAGGUAUUUCAAGAUAUUUCACCAUUAAACAUAAUAUGUAUCAAAGCUUUAAAAAAAACAGCCUUGUCACAUUUAAAACUGACCAUUUUCUCAAGCUAUUAUACAACAAAUGCUCCUACAUAUUAAAAUGUUUGCCUGAAAAACAAUAAAGUACGUUUAAAUUGUAGACUGUUUA